ACACCUGCACUAACGAGAACGCUUCAAACGGGCGAUUCUGGUGUGCCACCACAGACAGCUAUGACCGUGACCAGCGCUGGAGCUACUGUUCCGACAUGUUGCUGAGCGCGGACCCGAAGGGACCUUGCGUCUUCCCAUUCACCUACAAGGGUCACACCUACAGCUCCUGCACAACCGAAGGGUCAUCUGCAGGGCUUCUGUGGUGCUCUUUGAGCAGCAAUUACGAUGAGGAUCC